rnacentral:rRNA from 1 species
AGAGUUUGAUCAUGGCUCAGAUUGAACGCUGGCGGCAGGCCUAACACAUGCAAGUCGAGCGGUAACAGGAAGUAGCUUGCUACUUCGCUGACGAGCGGCGGACGGGUGAGUAAUGCCUGGGAAUAUGCCUUGAUGUGGGGGAUAACUAUUGGAAACGAUAGCUAAUACCGCAUAAUGCCUACGGGCCAAAGAGGGGGAUCUUCGGACCUCUCGCGUCAAGGUUAGCCCAGGUGGGAUUAGCUAGUUGGUGGGGUAAAGGCUCACCAAGGCGACGAUCCCUAGCUGGUCUGAGAGGAUGAUCAGCCACACUGGAACUGAGACACGGUCCAGACUCCUACGGGAGGCAGCAGUGGGGAAUAUUGCACAAUGGGGGAAACCCUGAUGCAGCCAUGCCGCGUGUAUGAAGAAGGCCUUCGGGUUGUAAAGUACUUUCAGCAGUGAGGAAGGUGGUAGUGUUAAUAGCUCUAUCAUUUGACGUUAGCUGUAGGAGAAGCACCGGCUAACUCCGUGCCAGCAGCCGCGGUAAU